GAUACCAGGGUCCCAAGGUCAGAAGUCCGACGCAAGCUUGCUUGCAGGAGAAUUUUUGACCUUGGGACCCGCCAAAAACAUGAGUAAGUAGCCAUUUUUCAAAGAAAAAUGAGCGAAUUACGAAUGUUUUUGAGAAUUGCGGGAGCACGUAGUGCAGAGCAAUUCGGU
rnacentral:sRNA from 1 species